GAUGAACGCUGGCGGCGUGCCUAAUACAUGCAAGUCGAGCGAAUGGAUUAAGAGCUUGCUCUUAUGAAGUUAGCGGCGGACGGGUGAGUAACACGUGGGUAACCUGCCCAUAAGACUGGGAUAACUCCGGGAAACCGGGGCUAAUACCGGAUAACAUUUUGAACCGCAUGGUUCGAAAUUGAAAGGCGGCUUCGGCUGUCACUUAUGGAUGGACCCGCGUCGCAUUAGCUAGUUGGUGAGGUAACGGCUCACCAAGGCAACGAGGCGUAGCCGACCUGAGAGGGUGAUCGGCCACACUGGGACUGAGACACGGCCCAGACUCCGACGGGGGGCAGCAGUAGGGAAUCUUCCGCAAUGGACGAAAGUCUGACGGAGCAACGCCGCGUGGGUGAUGAAGGCUUUCGGGUCGUAAAACUCUGUUGUUAGGGAAGAACAAGUGCUAGUUGAAUAAGCUGGCACCUUGACGGUACCUAACCAGAAAGCCACGGCUAACUACGUGCAGCAGCCGCCGUAA
rnacentral:rRNA from 1 species